CCGCAGAGGAAACACCCCUCCAGACCAUCACCUCCACCCACGGAGGAAGCACCCCUCCAGACCAUCACCUCCACCCACAGAGGAGUUGGCCGAGCCCAAGACCAGAACCGAGGCACCAAAGGUGGCGGGCUGGUCAGCAGAGUGCGAGCCAAGGCCACGCGACAGAUGUGGUUUUGUUGGCCGCCUACGCAUUCCUCAUCCCUUCGUGAUUCCUCCAGACGAAAGGCCCUGGAUCCAGCAGAGGGCGCGCCACCGCCUGUUUUAGCGCGUCUGCCUCCAUCCCUCGGGAAACUACACCCCCACUAUCUGCGCGAGCCCAGCCGAGCUUUUCUUCGGGUCUGUGCUGGUUUUCCUUCUCUGGUACCAGCAAGGAUGCAAAUUAUCGUCUCUGGGCGCCUCGGGCUGCGAGCGGGGGUCAAGGCAAGUGCCUUGGUUUUCGUCAUCUUUUUAUAUUCAAGGACAGCAUCGCCGCUCAUUGCAUAGGGGUCGAGGCCUCGAGGGGCCCCCAGAAUCGGAGCCAUUUCCCACGUCACUCCUUUGCUCCGUGUUCUGCAGGACCCACCGACAGAAAGGGUGGGAAGCCUCUCUAGAAGGCGGGGAGCCUACACCCACGGUCCCCAUUACGACCUCCUCUGGCCCUCUGCCAUGUUGUGCCACUGGACCUCGAACCCUGUGCAAACAGAGACAAAGGAUGCCCUCGGAUCUGUCAGC